GUACAUUAGCCAAUAGAAGGAAACUGGAAAGUAACAUUGCAAAAUCACACAGUACUUGUGAAAUGAAGCCAUGUAAUGUCUCAUCAGAUUCAGCCCUAAAAGCUAGACAGGUUUCUGUGCCCAGAUCGUCUUUUGGUCAUAGUAGAGUAAGAGCAAAGAGAGAUAUGCUAAGAGCCACAAAAAUCAAAUCUCUGCAGGUACAGAACAAAAAAUCACCAGAGAAAAUAUCAUAUGCACAGCCACUUGAGAAGACACCUCGAUCAGUGGAAAAUAAAGGUAAAUUUAAAGAAUCAAUAGAUACCUGUACAGUCAGUUCAGAGUACUCAGAUAUCAAAAUGCAACAUAGUAAAAACUAUGGUGUGAUCAGAUCAGGAUUAACUGUGAACAACAAAGAAAACAGUUGCCCACCAUGUACAAAUAAGAUAGAAUUGCUUUCUCUAGAGCGAGAUGCCCAGCAAUCCAAGUAUGUACCUCAAACUGUUUUGAAUUCUGUUUCUUUCCCUAAGAAGUUUUUAUUUCAACCUGAGAAAGCAAAGAAAAUAAAUGAUGCUACUGACCUGCAGACUUUUAAAAUGUCAAGUUCAGUGGGACAGAAAAUACCAGAUAAAACUGACAUGCCUGUGUAUGACUGUUCCAGAUCUGGAAAAAGACUUAAAUUUUUUAUUUCAAGGCAGAAGACCCUGCAGCCAAAAGUAGUAUUAAAAUCUUUUCUCUGUUCUAUUUUUGCCCCUGUCAAGUCCCCACUUCAAAGUGAAAAACAGAAAAAAAGCGAGUGUUUAGGAGAAGACAUGGAAAGAAUAAUACAAGAUCAAUCUCAAGGAGAAGAGACAUCAUUAAUUGAAGUCAAGUGUGAGCCUAUUCUUGACUCGGAAAGGGUUGCCAAUCUCCAAAUUGUACCAGCCCAAGAAGAGAGGUCACUAAUUAAGGCACAACUGGUAGAGUGUGAUGGCCCAAGAGAUUCCAUGAGGCAGGGAAACUAUGCAAAUCAUCAAGAAUGGUUCACUACAAACCAGGAGGGGCAGCAGGAUCAAAAAUGUUUACCAGUAACUAUUUCAAAAUCUGGGAGUAUCAUUAAGUCCUGUAUGCCUCUACUUGAACAAACAUCAG
rnacentral:lncRNA from 1 species